AUGGCAACGGUGGACGCCGGCGAGGUGCAGGCGGCGCUGGCGCCGGUUACCAGGGCCACCGUCUCGCACGUCAUCUUCGACAUGGACGGCCUCCUCCUUGACACGGAGGGGUUCUACACGGAAGUGCAGCAGAAGUUCCUGGCGAGGUACGGCAAGGUGUUCGACUGGUCCGUCAGGGCCAGGAUGAUGGGCAAGAAGGCCGCGGAGGCGGCGCGCAUCUUUGUCGACGAGUACGGCCUCGCCGGCCUGCUCACCCCGGAGCAGUUCCUCGAGCAGCGCGAGAACAUGCUGCAGGAGCUCUUCCCCUCCUGCACCGUCAUGCCCGGGGCGCUACGCUUGAUUCAUCAUUUCCACGCAAACAAGAUACCUAUCUGUGUUGCGACAGGAUCCCAUAAAUGCCAUUUUGAACUGAAGACGCAGAACCACCAGGAAAUGUUUGCCAUGAUGCAUCAUGUUGUCAUGGGGGAUGAUCCAGAGGUGAAGGCCGGGAAGCCAUCUCCUGAUAUUUUCCUUGCUGCCAUGAGGAGGUUUGAGGGCAAUGUGGAAUCCGGUAACUGCUUGGUCUUUGAAGAUGCACCGUCAGGUGUAACAGCAGCUAAGAAUGCUGGAAUGCAUGUGGUGAUGGUCCCAGAUCCUAAGCUGGAUGUUUCAUAUCACAAAGAAGCCAACCAAGUUCUCGGUUCCCUGUUGGAUUUCGAACCGACCGAAUGGGGCUUGCCACCUUUUAAAGAGGAGUGA
rnacentral:rRNA from 1 species